rnacentral:rRNA from 1 species
AUGUGGCUUAAUUCGAUGCAACACGAAGAACCUUACCUGGACUUGACAUGUUUCUGUAAGUCCGGAGAUACCCGGUCCCUUCCAGUUUACUGGAACAGUUUCACAGGUGGUGCAUGGUUGUCGUCAGCUCGUGUCGUGAGAUGUAAGGUUAAGUCCUUAAACGAGCGUAACCUUUGUCAUUAGUUGCCACCGGUUCGGCCGAGCACUCUAAUGAGUCCGCUAGCGACAAGUUAGACCCAGAUGGAGAUGACGUCAAAUCCUCACGUCCCUUAUGUCUAGGGCCGCACACAUGCGACAAUGGUAGAGACAGCGGGUUGCGACGGGGUAAGCAUGAGCUAAUCCAUANACUCUGCCUCAGUACAGAUCGAGGGCUGAAAUUCGACCUCGUGAAGAUGGAGUUGCUAGUAAACGCAGGUCAGCUACUCCUGCGUUGAUACGUUCCCGGGGAUUGUACACACCGCCCGUCACACCACCCGAGUCGUGUGCACCCGAAGUCGUUACCCUAACAGGGGAAGG